UCCCUGGUAGUCUAGUGGUUAUGAUUCCGGCUUGUCAAGCAAAAGCCUUCAUGAGUCGUUGUAGACGCGCCGGCGGCCCGGGUUCGAUUCCCGGCCGGGGAG